UGAAUACGAGAUGCUACGGCGUCGAAGCAGUCUAUGUCAUACUUCCAAGAAAAGCUUGCACUGUCAUAAACAAAUAAUGCCUGUACCAUAACCGACACAGGAGGGUAGGUAGAGUAUACUAAGGGGCGCGAGAUAACUCUCUCUAAGGAACUCGGCAAAAUGACUCCGUAACUUCGGGAGAAGGAGUGCCUUAUUUUAUAAGGUUGCAAUAACAAGAUCCAAGCAACUGUUUACCAAAAACACAGGUCUCCGCUAAGUCGUAAGACGAUGUAUGGGGGCUGACGCCUGCCCAGUGCCAGAAGGUUAAAGAAGUUGGUUAGCAUCCGCGAAGCUGAUAACUGAAGCCCUGGUGAACGGCGGCCGUAACAAUAACGGUCCUAAGGUAGCGAAAUUCCUUGUCGGGUAAGUUCCGACCCGCACGAAAGGCGUAAUGAUUUGGAUACUGUCUCAGAGAGGGGCUCGGUGAAAUAGACUUGUCUGUGAAGAUGCGGACUACCCGCACCAGGACAGAAAGACCCUAUGAAGCUUUACUGUAACUUGAAAUUGAAAUUGGACUUUACUUGCGCAGUAUAGGUGGGAGGCGUUGAGAAUAUUCUUGCGGGAAUGUUGGAGCCAUCAGUGAGAUACCACUCUUGUAAUGUUAGAUUUCUAACUUUGUAUCAUUAUCUGGUCAAAGGACAGUUUCAGGCGGGCAGUUUGACUGGGGCGGUCGCCUCCCAAACGGUAACGGAGGCGCACAAAGGUUUCCUCUGAACGGGUAGAAAUCGUAUCUAGAGUGUAAAGGCAUAAGGAAGCUUGACUGUGAGACCUACAAGUCGAGCAGGGACGAAAGUCGGUCUUAGUGAUCUGACGGUGCUGAGUGGAAAGGCCGUCACUCAACGGAUAAAAGUUACUCUAAGGAUAACAGGCUGAUCUCCCCCAAGAGUUCACACCGACGGGGAGGUUUGACACCUCGAUGUCGGCUCAUCGCAUCCUGGGGCGGUAGUACGUCCCAAGGGUUGGGCUGUUCGCCCAUGAAAGCGGUACGCGAGCUGGGUUCAGAACGUCGUGAGACAGUUCGGUCCAUAUCCGGUGUAGGCGUUAGAAUAUUGAGAGGAGCCUUCUUUAGUACGAGAGGACCGAGAAGGACAUACCUCUGGUGUACCAGUUAUCGUGCCAACGGUAAACGCUGGGUAGCUAUGUAUGGAGUGGAUAACCGCUGAAAGCAUCUAAGUGGGAAGCCCACCUCAAGAUAAGUAUUCUC
rnacentral:rRNA from 1 species